UACGUAGGGUGCGAGCGUUAAUCGGAUUUACUGGGCGUAAAGCGUGCGCAGGCGGCCCGUUAAGACAGGUGUGAAAUCCGUGGGCUCAACCAAGGAAUUGCGCUUGUGACUGGCGGGCUCGAGUAUGGUAGAGGGGGGUGGAAUGCCUGGUGUAGCAGUGAAAUGCGUAGAGAUCAGGAGGAACACCGAUGGCGAAGGCAGCCCCCUGGGCCUGUACUGACGCUCAUGCACGAAAGCGUGGGGAGCAAACAGG
rnacentral:rRNA from 1 species